AUAAAUUACGGAUGUGCGUCUUUACGUCAAGGUCGUGAUUCUACAUAACAACAUCCGCUUGACCUCGCAAUGCCAAGAAGAAGAAAGGCGUGGAACACAUGCUUAAGCGUCCCGCCUGUCAAGAUCUUCAGAUGAUGUUUGAGAAAAAAGUCAUCAUCCUCUUCGUCACUCUUCAUCCGUAUUUGGGGUAACAAACACCUGCUUCCCACAAGAGACUGGACCGCUGAAGUCAGGUGACCUGCACCUUCCUUGAACAUGUUGGUAACUUACUCUGUAUUUGUUCACGGUGGUCACCUCAGGGUCUCAGGACUCAAAACGAGUGCUCUAUGGAUUGAACAGAAAAUGUAGUAUUAACAAGUGUGGAUCAACACUCCAACCAUCUGCAUUAGGGACUGAAUAAAGGAUGCCCUCUGUAGCUGGGAAUGUUAGAUCAGCAACAUGAGCAACUGUGACCAUCGACAACAGGAAGUGGGCAUGUCCAGCUAUGCCACAACGUUGAGGAAAGUUCAACUUGAUGAAGGACUUUUGGGAGCAACUACCAAUGAGAGUGAAGCAGUGAAGCGGAUCAACAUUCCAUCCAUCUGCAUUAGGAUCUACCUUAGAGACACUCACUGGAGCUGUAAAGGGAAGCAGCAAUUUGGGACAUUCUUCCAGUUGUCGGCAACUUUGUGAAAAAGGCUGGAAACUAAAAUGCAGAAUUCUGGCCUGGUGUUUGGUCCGUGCUGUCUUUGGCUCUUGCAUCUCCAUCAUCCUGACCCUCUUUAGCAGCCUGUCCAUGUAUUUAUUUGGAGGCCACCAUGAGCACCCAUCUGCAUAAUAUGACUUUGUUACUCAGUUGUCCAUGCUCCUACAAAUUCUAAAUUUUUUGUAAAGCUGCAACAAGUUGAAACCCUAUAAUUAUUAACAUUUGAUUUUGAAUUAUGUAAUUCAAAUACAUGAAUAAGUAACAGAAAUAUAUAAAAGCAGAAAUAUAUUAAGACAUUACCUUUUUGUUGAUUGUUUACUGAUCUAUAAAUCCUUUUGCAUUCUCAUAAUUGAUCAUCAUAACUUGGUAUACAGUGGAUGUGUGGCUGUAGAUAACUUUCUGAAGUCAAUUUAAAAAGGCAAAAGUUAAUAAAUGCUAAAUUGGUCAAAUAUACAUUGUUGUAUUUUCACCAUUUUGAUCUUAUUUAGGCAUUUCAUAACUUGAGGGAAAUUUACGUAUACUGAUGUUUCAAAUCAAAUAUUAAUUUAUUAAUGACAGCUAAUCAUUUUAUAAAGAUUUUUUAUAACAAUGUUUAUUUAUAUAAUAUCAAUUUAAUACAUUUAUUUCGUUACCCCUACAUCACUGAGCGCAAGGGAGUGCAGCCAACAAAUACAUUCAGGUGUGUUUGACUUAACAUCGAGAUGCGCAGACAGCACGUGGUAUGACAUCAAGUACCGCGAGAGUUUGGGAAAGCCCCGGAAAAGGUUUGAACUCGCGGUACUUGAUGUCACGAUCGGUUUGCGAGUAGAUCAGCAUGAAGUCAAACACAUCUGAGAGAUGUGUGGGCUGCCUGCACUCAGCGUUGCGAUCAUUCAAUAGAGUGUAACCUCAAUCGGUUUUUGCAGCUUCUGGGUCUCGUGUAGAACGAUUUUUUGUUCUUUUCCAACUCGAUUUUUAACUCCCUAAACUAGUAGGAUGUUCCAACGGGUGAAGCAACAGUGCUGACGGCAGUUUCAGUGUCAAGUUUUCAUGCCAUGAUCACUGGGACGGAAACCAUUAUGACAUUGCCUUGGACAUCAAACUAAACCAUCUCAUUCUGGCUUUUGAGGUGGAUUCUAACCUCGAAAUCUCAGAAGGACAGGUCUAAGAUGGAUGCAGCCUCCAUAGGAUGCAACCUUGCAUUUGAGAAACACCCAUAGAACGGUCAACUUACCCCAUACUCUAACCUGAAUGCAGGGAUCAUAAAACUUUAUCUUUUACCUUAAUUGUUAGAUGGGUGUUGAUACCAAACUUUUUUUCUCGUCUACCCAGGAGAAAGUCAUGGGUUCUGCUGCUAAGGUUGUCAUAAUCGUCUUUUAUUCUGCUUACCUGACUCAUGCAGAAUUCUGGCUUGAUGUUUGGUCCACCUGUUAGCUGGCUCUGGUGCUUGGUAGUCUUCUCAAACCUCUGAAUCAAGACCACCAUGAGAGGCCUUCUGAAGACCAUCAUUACGGUUCAGAUCCAGUUGUCUUUACUAUGAGAUAGAACUGAACUGGAGUCUGUGAACUAAUGCUGUGUUCGAGACAACUUGGAUGUUGGAUAUUAUUGACCUCAAACCCGUAAGAAGUCUGGAACAGCAAACAAAAUCAUUUCUCUUUUUAAUGCAGAACUUAAGGAUGAACCACCCUGAUCUACUAAGAUGCACAGAUUCAACUCUGGCCCAGCAUCAUCCCCACACCUCAUCUGCCAUCAGUUUAAUUUAAUGUCUGUCAAUUGCAAAUGCUAUUUAUUUCAGUUAUAUAUUACAACUUAAUUUUAAUUGUGUAAAGCUGGGGUUUCCAAACUUUUCAUUUCAAAACCUAUUAGACAAGUGUAAUCUAUUCUAGACCCACUAAAAUAUUUUUAAAUAUACAUUUUUUUAAUGGGGUAAAACACAUUUGUUCUCUUUCAGUGGAGUCAUUUUAUUUUCAUAAUACUUCAUAAUGUAAAGCAGUGGUUCUUAACGUUAUUCCUCGAAGCCCAUUGCUCUGCACAUUUUGUAUGACUCUUUUAUCUGACAGACUCAGUUCAGUUCAUUGAGAUCUCUUCUAAUGAGCUGAUGAUUUGAAUCAGGUGUGUUAAAUAAGGGAGACAUACAAAAUGUGCAGGGCAGUCUGCCUCGAGGAAUAACGUUAAGAACCACUGAUGUAAAGUAAAUAUAAGUUUAUUUGCAAAACCAAAUAUUUUAUGGUAUAUUCUUUCAAAACCAUUGUCAUUGUUAAUUAUUAAUUUGGCCAAACUGUUGUUGCAUCAUUAAGGUGUGCAACACACCUUAACCUACUGUGUGACGGACAAGUGGGUCCUCCUGACACACAAUUUAAAAUCCUCUGGUGUACCGAAUGUUGUAUUGUAAUUAAAGUUGCAUCUCAGUCUUGUGUAACAGUCUCCAUUAUUUGUGAUUAUAUUCAUAGUGUCACAUGGUACUUUCAGCACUUACUACAUCACAGUGUUUUUAAUGCUUUCAUUUUUAGGUUUAUUAUAAAUUCAUUCAUUUUUAAAGAAUUCCUUCUUUAUGUAGAACAUGCAAAGUCUAAAAUGUAAAGUGUCAUGAUCAGCUCUGGGUCUUGUGCAGUGAUUAAAUGAGCAGGUAGUAAAUGUCAUAGCUUUGCAGUAUAUUGGGUAGGCUCUUGAUGUAAAGAACAUUCAGCACAUAGGUUUCAUAAAUUUAAUUUGGUAAACCAACUUGUCAGAACAAUUCAUGCUGUGAUGCUGGAUAAUACCUGGUCAAAUGAAUACAUGUAUAAUGUGUUUCGACAUUGUAUAAGGUUUCUUCAUCUAUACAGACAUCUGUUAGAGAACGGUGCAGAGACUGCUGUCCAUUAUUGGUUACAGUAUAUUUGUUAAAAUGUUGCCAGUAAGAAUAUUUCCGUGUACAAGGUACUUUCUUUGAGUACCUUUAUGUGUUUUAUUCUGCACUUAAAGCAUAAACGCAAUUUAAAUGCAGGAGUCCCCUCGUCCUUACUGCCAAAUAUGCAAGUGAAACUGGACUAAACGCAUACAGUAUACAUACGGGUAUGAUUUCAUUUUUCUAUAUUACACGUGAUAC